rnacentral:hammerhead_ribozyme from 1 species
AUCCAUCUGACGAGUCCUGAAUAGGACGAAACGGACGCCCUGGAU